UAGGGGAUUUUCUAUUUGUUACAGGUUUGAAGUACUUACUUAGUUAUCUGGGAAAAAAUAUCAGAGGAUGACAGAACGAAAAACUCCUCGGGAGUGAGAGAGAGAGUGUGAACAAGUAUUACUGGUCUGCAUUUGAAUUAAAAACUGUAGAUUCUUCAAACUCCUUUGUGUUCCUCAGUAUCUGGCUGUGGAGAAUGCACCACUGUCAAGUUUCUCUGUGAGGUCCCAGCUCACCAUUUAUCCCCUGAUCUGUUGGAUGUGGAGCAGUAAUGUCUCAAAAUGAUAGUCACAUCAUGUUGGAUAAAAGAAAGAAACCAGAGAAGUCAUAAUUCACUUCGGCACUAAGUCAGCAGCAAGCAGCAGCAUCGCUGUGGAAUCCACUCAAGUUAUUUCUACUUAUUUACUUACUGACUUCUGCUUUUGGGGAUCAAGACUUGCUAACUUUGAAGCCUGAGUUCAGUUGAAUGAAGAAGACCGCUUUUUAUGCUUUGUUCUGCGUUCAAGAUUUGAGCAAGAUCUUUGACUAAACAUACAUAAAUCACUGGCUUCAACCAACAACUUUUCUGACCACUGCUUCUGGCAGUCCACUAGUCUUUGUUUCAUGAUGGUAAUUAUCUGCCCAAAUUCUUCAAGAAUGACUUUGCAUCGAACACAGUGAUGCUCAUGCUGUGGGUGAAUUAAUUAAAGCACUAAGAAAUUCAUGCUCAGUGAUGAGAACUAUUGGCUUGAUGCACUCUAAUGCAGACUUACUCACAGAGACCUAAGGGUAUGAGAAGUAACUGCUGGGAGCAUCCACCACAAAUUGGAGUGUACUGUAAAUUCUGUGUCUCUGUUCUGAACUUAGGCUACUAGUCAUACAGCAAGUGGCUCUUUCUCCCACAUCUGUUCAUCCUGUCUCAUUAGUGUUGAAGCUAUUGCCAUUAUGCUUCAGUGGGGUAAAGUAUAGUGAGAACAAAAGUCUGGAGAAGGCAUUAUGUGUAGGAAAGAAGGGCAGGAAGGGGUCCAGAAACCUGGAAUGGAAGUAAUUCAAAUGAAGCUCCUAUAUAACAGCGGGACCUGGAGGAGCUUUACUGCCAAGCCAUAUGGGAUGGAAAUUAGGUAAUGAGAGGACACUACUGCACCAUUCCAUCAUCUAUGAUGAUUUCCUGGAAACUGCAAACUUUGAUAUAUGCAUGAAGAAAUACAAAGCUGUAGAUCAGGAGAGGGAGGACUGGAUUGGCAGCCUUUGUAAGAAUUCAGCCCAAUAAGCAAUAGUCGUUCAAAAUGCAAUUAGAUUUUAACAGCCUAAUUUAGUUACAGGUGAAAUUUCAGAGGUUUCACUGUGGAUAAACAUGAUGUGUGCAGUCACAGUUUAUCCAUUUUUUAGCCAGUUAUUUUAAGAAAUGAGGAUUGUGUUAGGUUACUGGGAGCGUACUUCAGAACAUGCAUAGGCUGAAGUAAUCAGUAGCAGAGGUCUAAUUAUGUCCUUAUGAAUGUCAAUGAGUUGUUGCAAAAUCACUUCAAAGAGCAGGAUAGCAUUCAGGUCCUCAACCACAUAUUUGGAAGUAGAACAGAUUGAAAACAAACUGAUCAAACAAGUCUCUAUUUAUACAGCAUUGUUUUCACGUGCAUUGCUUUUGUUGAUAACAGUUUUAGUGUUUGGUUAAAACUGUGCGACUUCCUCUAUGGGCAAUUUCAUUAAUUUAGUUCAAAAUUCCAUUGAUUUUUAGCUUUGUAUAAGAAAGAAAUAACUUCAAAUUUAUCUAUAUUGAGUUUAAAUAGGAUUAUGAUAAAUUGCCUGUAGGCACUGGUGAGCCCACAAAUUUUGGCAACUUAGUGAUAAUUCCCUCUUUCAAGCUCUGUAAUAAGUCAAUUGUUUCUCACCCCACUCAUCUUCCAGCAAGACUUCCCAGGGUAACUUAGAAUUAAUUUCAUUCUUUUUCUAUUCCUAAGUUCUUAAAACCGUAGACAAAUAUUGUCUAAAAGUCAAAAGUGCUGUAAAUGUAAUUUAGAACUAGUAAAAUGCAUCAGUUGCAUUUAGUUUUCUAUUAAAGCUCAGAGAUGCUUGUGUGGUUUUUUUGUUU